AAUCCAUGUUGUGGGCAUUAGCGAAGUAAACCCUUGUAUCGUUCCCAAACUCUAAAUAGCAUUCUGAGUCCAUUUGCUGAAAAGUAGUGAUCUCAUCCCUUAGCUU
rnacentral:snoRNA from 1 species